rnacentral:rRNA from 1 species
UACGAAGGGGGCUAGCGUUGUUCGGAUUUACUGGGCGUAAAGCGCACGUAGGCGGAUCGUUAAGUCGGGGGUGAAAUCCUGGAGCUCAACUCCAGAACUGCCUUCGAUACUGGCGAUCUUGAGUCCGGAAGAGGUGAGUGGAACUCCUAGUGUAGAGGUGGAAUUCGUAGAGUAUUAGGAAGAACACCAGUGGCGAAGGCGGCUCACUGGUCCGGUACUGACGCUGAGGUGCGAAAGCGUGGGGAGCAACAGGG